UGGGGAAUAUUGCACAAUGGGCGCAAGCCUGAUGCAGCGACGCCGCGUGAGGGAUGACGGCCUUCGGGUUGUAAACCUCUUUCAGCAGGGAAGAAGCGAAAGUGACGGUACCUGCAGAAGAAGCACCGGCUAACUACGUG
rnacentral:rRNA from 1 species